CACACAGGUUUACAGCUCAACCUCUAAAGUCCCAUAUCUGGCUGAGGAGACUGUGGAUCAUCCAGGUACUAUGCCUUUAGAUGCCUAUACACACAUUAAAAUGAUGUACAGUAAAAAUUACUAGUAAUUUUAACUACUAAUUAUUUAGUAAAUUACUAAUUGUCAUUUCAUGUUAUUUAGAACAUCACCAGUGGAAAAAAGGUGUGAAUGCAUCCUCAAAGCCCCUAAGUGAGGGAGUACAUGGAUGCUGGGCAUGAUGAAGCGCAAACCUUGAUGUGCAACACCACCUUAUGAAUCUACACUAGUUACAUUAACAUUUAGCAGACUCUUUUGUCUUAAGUGACUUACAAUUGAGGACACAUUCAGCAAAUCAACAAGAAAAGGCGAUACACCCAAGAUGUGCUAAUUAUAUAAAAAAAAAAAAGUGGCUGGCGACUUGCGACUUGCGCGCCCAGUCGUCCAGCCAAUCUAAGUUUUUGCCUUCUCCUCGGAAGGACCCCCGUCUAACGCCGUAGUCCAGCAGCAGCUCCUCCCCCAUGGAGAUGUCCCGAAGGGCGCGGAAUAGAACGCACUCCCGUGGCCCCUGUGGCAGCGUU
rnacentral:lncRNA from 1 species